GACGAACGCUGGCGGCGUGCCUAAUACAUGCAAGUCGAACGCACGAAGUUGAAGAGCUUGCUCUUUAACCAAGUGAGUGGCGGACGGGUGGGUAACACGUGGGUAACCUGCCCAUUAGAGGGGGAUAACAUUCGGAAACGGAUGCUAAUACCGCAUAGUUUCAGGAAUCGCAUGAUUCUUGAAGGAAAGGUGGCUUCGGCUACCACUAAUGGAUGGACCCGCGGCGUAUUAGCUAGUUGGUGAGGUAAUGGCUCACCAAGGCAAUGAUACGUAGCCGACCUGAGAGGGUGAUCGGCCACACUGGGACUGAGACACGGCCCAGACUCCUACGGGAGGCAGCAGUAGGGAAUCUUCCGCAAUGGACGAAAGUCUGACGGAGCAACGCCGCGUGAGUGAAGAAGGUUUUCGGAUCGUAAAACUCUGUUGUUAAAGAAGAACAAGGAUGAGAGUAACUGCUCAUCCCCUGACGGUAUUUAACCAGAAAGCCACGGCUAACUACGUGCCAGCAGCCGCGGUAACACGUAGGUGGCAAGCGUUGUCCGGAUUUAUUGGGCGUAAAGCGAGCGCAGGCGGUUCUUUAAGUCUGAUGUGAAGGCCCCCGGCUCAACCGGGGAGGGUCAUUGGAAACUGGAGAACUUGAGUGCAGAAGAGGAGAGUGGAAUUCCACGUGUAGCGGUGAAAUGCGUAGAUAUGUGGAGGAACACCAGUGGCGAAGGCGACUCUCUGGUCUGUAACUGACGCUGAGGCUCGAAAGCGUGGGGAGCAAACAGG
rnacentral:rRNA from 1 species